ACAGAGUAUAGAGUCUCACUGAAGAUUACUCAGUGCCUCAAGACUGAAUCCAAAGUGCAUCCUGUAAAAACCAAGUCAGAGGCUGCAGGUAUCAGUUAUGCUUCUGUAAUGAAGAACCACCACUUGCUCAGGAACUUUGACAGAAGUCGUUAGAAAGCAAUACAAUCAGAGAAUCUAUCUGACUUCUACCAUUGAUGCAGAGACAUAUGGCAUUAACAUCGUAAGAAACAAAGCAUGAGUUUAUGUGGAAUAUAAUUGAACACAUAAAGUGUUGGGUUUUGGUUAGUAAUUGGGACCAGAAAGAUUUCUGAAGAAGGGUCAAGGCCUGAAACGUCAGCUUUCCUGCUCCUCUGAUGCUGCUCGGCCUGCUGUGUUCAUCGAGCUCUACACCUUGUUAUCUCAGAUUCUCCAGCAUCUGCAAUUCCUACUAUCCCAGAAAAGUUGUUAUCAGUUUUGCAGUUACAGUAUGGUGUUUGAGUUAAUUAUUUGUUGGUUACAAACACCAUACAUAGCAAAUCAGAUAUGUAUCAUAAAAUUACGCUGCUUUUUAUUUGUA